AACGAACGCUGGCGGCAGGCCUAACACAUGCAAGUCGAGCGGACCUUUCGGGGUCAGCGGCGGACGGGUGAGUAACGCGUGGGAAUAUGCCCUUCUCUACGGAAUAGUCCUGGGAAACUGGGGGUAAUACCGUAUACGCCCUUUGGGGGAAAGAUUUAUCGGGGAAGGAUUAGCCCGCGUUGGAUUAGGUAGUUGGAGGGGUAAUGGCCUACCAAGCCGACGAUCCAUAGCUGGUUUGAGAGGAUGAUCAGCCACACUGGGACUGAGACACGGCCCAGACUCCUACGGGAGGCAGCAGUGGGGAAUCUUAGACAAUGGGGGCAACCCUGAUCGAGCCAUGCCGCGUGAGUGAUGAAGGCCUUAGGGUUGUAAAGCUCUUUCAGCUGGGAAGAUAAUGACGGUACCAGCAGAAGAAGCCCCGGCUAACUCCGUG
rnacentral:rRNA from 1 species